ACAUCAGUAUGGACAUUUGGGCUCAUUCCAUAAUUUGGCCACUAUUGAUAAUGCUACUGUAAAUAUAAGGGUGGAUGUA